rnacentral:rRNA from 1 species
CGGCUAACUCCGUGCCAGCAGCCGCGAUAAUACGAGGGUGCGAGCGUUAAUCGGAAUACUGGCGUAAGCGCAUGCAGGUGGUUCAUAAGUCAGAUGUGAAAGCCCGGGGCUCAACCUCGGAACUGCAUUUGAAACUGGUGAACUAGAGUACUGUAGAGGGGGGUAGAAUUUCAGGUGUAGCGGUGAAAUGCGUAGAGAUCUGAAGGAAUACCAGUGGCGAAGGCGGCCCCCUGGACAGAUACUGACACUCAGAUGCGAAAGCGUGGGGAGCAAACAGGAUUAGAUACCCUGGUAGUCCACGCCGUAAACGAUGUCUACUUGGAGGUUGUGGCCUUGAGCCGUGGCUUUCGGAGCUAACGCGUUAAGUAGACCGCCUGGGGAGUACGGUCGCAAGAUUAAAACUCAAAUGAAUUGACGGGGGCCCGCACAAGCGGUGGAGCAUGUGGUUUAAUUCGAUGCAACGCGAAGAACCUUACCUACUCUUGACAUCCAGAGAAGCCAGCGGAGACGCAGGUGUGCCUUCGGGAACUCUGAGACAGGUGCUGCAUGGCUGUCGUCAGCUCGUGUUGUGAAAUGUUGGGUUAAGUCCCGCAACGAGCGCAACCCUUAUCCUUGUUUGCCAGCGAGUAAUGUCGGGAACUCCAGGGAGACUGCCGGUGAUAAACCGGAGGAAGGUGGGGACGACGUCAAGUCAUCAUGGCCCUUACGAGUAGGGCUACACACGUGCUACAAUGGCGCAUACAGAGGGCAGCAAGCUAGCGAUAGUGAGCGAAUCCCAAAAAGUGCGUCGUAGUCCGGAUUGGAGUCUGCAACUCGACUCCAUGAAGUCGGAAUCGCUAGUGAUCGUAGAUCAGAAUGCUACGGUGAAUACGUUCCCGGGCCUUGUACACACCGCCCGUCACACCAUGGGAGUGGGCUGCAAAAGAAGUGGGUAGUUUAACCUUUCGGGGAGGA